GCCAUUCAAUAUGAUCAUGGCUGAUCAUCCAACUCAGUAUCCUGUACCUGUCUUCUCUCCAUACCCCCUGAUCCCUUUAGCCACAUGGCCACAUCUACCUCCCUCUUAAAUAUAACCAAUGAAUUGGCCUCAACUGGCCUCCCGAAGCAGAAAAGGCCCGACGGCUCACAGUUUAUUUGCUUGGCUUUAGGGGCCCGUGGAGCCGAUUCCUUGUCCCAGUAUCCACCCCAGUUGACGACUGCGGAAGGACAAACUGUAACACUGAACUGCAGUUACCCUGCAUCAGUGGCUGCCGACACUAUCUUUUGGUACAUCCAAAGUUCGACGGAAGCGCCGAGAUAUACAUUGAGGAUAUUCGCCGCCGGCCAUCAAGACCGAUUACCUGACAGAUUUUCUGCGGUUUAUCGUAAAGGGGAUCGGAUGGUCCUUUUGAGUAUCUCCGGGGCCCGCGCUUCCGACUCCGCCGUGUAUCUCUGUGCCAUAAAUCCCACGCUGCAGCAAGGAAGCGCGGGACCCGCACAAAAACCAACCUUCGGCAACCGCCAUUAGAGGGCGCACUAACGCCGCUAAACGGAAGUGAACAGAGAUAGAAUCUCAUUGCAAUUUUCA